rnacentral:lncRNA from 1 species
GUUCUAUUAUCCUGUUCUCUUUAUUUGUGUAUAUAUUGGAAUUUUAUGUAAGAAGGAAAUUAUAAUUAUGGUCCAGGUAUUACAUUUACUAAGUAGAUUAAAUGCAAAGAGAUACAUCCAAAAUGCCAUGGAGAAAUUAAAAUUUUUAAAUUCUUUAAAAGCCCAAAUCAUAAAAGGAAAAAUUGGUGAGUGAGACUUCAUCAAAAAUAAAAACUUCUUCAAAAGACAGGGUUAAUAAAAUGGAAACACAAUUCACAGGUGGGAGAAAACCAAACAUACAUUUGAUAAAGAAUUUGUAUCCAAGAUAUAUAUAAAGGAGUUCCCAUCGUGGUUCGGCAGUAACAAACCCAGCUAGUAAGGUUUGAUCCCUGCCCUUGCUUAGUGGGUUAAGGAUCGAGAGUUGCCAUGAGCUGUGGUGUAGGUCACAGACUUGGCUCGAAUCUGGCAUUGCUGUGGCUGUUGCAUAGGCCGGCAGCUGCAGCUCUGAUUCGAUCCCUAGCCUGGGAACUUCCAUAUGCCAUGGGUUCAGCCCUAAAAAGACAAAAAAAUUCAUAUAUAUAUAUAUGUAUAUGUAUGUAUAUAUAUGUAUGUACACACACACACAUAUAUAUGUACACACAUACAUAUAUAUAUAUACACACACAUAUAAAGAAGUUUUAAAAUUCAACAAGAAAACAACCACAUUUAUAAGAGCAAAAUACUUAAAAUGGACACUUCACCAGAGAAGAUAUGUGGAUGACAAAAUAAGCAUAUGAAAAGAUGUCCAACAUAAUCAUUAGGAAAAUAUAAGUUAUAAACACAAUGCCUAAAAUUAAAAUUUUCAAAAGCUGGCAACACUGAGUGCUAGUAAAUUUUGAAACAACUAGAAUUCUUGUACAUUGCUGGUGGAAAUGCAGAAGAGAAUGUCACUUUGGAAGAAAGCGUGGCAAUUUCUUACAGAUUUAAACAUAUCUUUAUCUUAUGAACCAGCAAUACCACUCCCAUAUGUUUCCUCAAAAGGAAUGAAAAUUUGUGUCCACACAAAGAUCUCUAUGUAGAUAUUUACAGCAACUUUAUUAAUAAUUUUCCCAAACUGGAAACAAACCAAGUGUCUAUCAACUCGCUCAUGGAUGGAAAACAUGUGGCACAUCCAUAAAAUGGGAUAUUACUUCACCAAAAACAGAUGUGACCAGCUGAUACGUGAAAUGAUAUUGAUGAAUCUCAAAUGCAUUAUGCUAAGUAGAACAUGCCAAACUAUAUGAUUCUACUUAUAUGACAGUCAGAAAAAGAUAAAACUAGCAACAAAAAGCCGAGGAGUGGUUACAGGUGAAUUGACUCCAAAAGUACUUCAAGGGAAUUGGGGGGUGGAGGGACAGUGACAGAAAUGUUCUAAAUCUUGAUGUGAUGGUGAUUAUGUAAUGGCACACAGUCAUUAAAAUUCCUGGAACUGUUUACUAAAAGAUAGAAUUUACGUAUUAAUAAACCCGAUUUAGAAAAAUAUAAACUUCCCACAGCAGGAAACUCCAGGCCCAGAUUAUUUCAGUGGUAUUGAACUUCUAUUUCUAUUGAACAUUGUGUAGCACCAAUGUUAUAAAACUCUUUUGGAAAAUGAGAAACACCACUUCCUAAAUCAUUUUAUGAAGCAAGUAUAGCUCUUUUUCAGAGCAUGAAAAAGAAAUGACCAAAACAGUUACUUAAGAACAUCCUUUGUUAAUAUAAACAUGAAAAUCCCUAACAAAAUACUAGCAAAUCAAAUCCAGCAAUAUAUAAAAAGUUCUCAGGAAUGUACAAAUCGAACCUAGGACUGGUAAUUGAAUCUAGUAAGGUCACAGAAUUUAAGGUCAAUAUUAUCAGAAAUAUUUUCUAUGUACAAACAUCAAAGAAUUGUAAAAUAUAUGGUAUUUUAUAAAAAUAAGAUACUUAGGAAUACGUUAAAAUAUGCUAUAAGAUCGCUCCAUAAAAACUACAAAAUAUUGCUUAGAGAACAUUUUAAAGCCCUAGGAUAAAGAGAAAUAUAAUAUUCAUUGAUUGGAAGACUUACUAUUUUUAGGAUGUUAUUUCUUUCCAAGAUGGUAUGUACAUUAAAUGCAACCCCAAUAGAAAUUCUAGCAGGCUAUUUUUCUAAAAAUCUACAAGCUGAUCCUAAAAUUUUUAUAGAAAAGCAAACAAUUUCAAAUAGUCACAAUAAUUUUGGAAAAGAAUCACAGCAGUACUUGAUUUCAAGACUUACUAUAGAGCUACAUUAAUCAAGACAGUGUGGUAUUGGUAAAAGGAUAGGUAAGCACAUCAGUGGAAGAGAACAAAGAGGUCAAAAUUAGACCCACACAUUUAUGGUUGAUUAACUUGAUAAAAGUGCCAAAACACUUAUCAAAAAUCAAUCAAUUUAGAUGAAUCAUAAAUCUAAACGUAAAAGCUAAACUGUAAAGCUUCUAGAAGUAUAUAUAGGAGAAAGCUUUGAGUUGUGAUUUAGGCAAAGGUGCAUGGAUAGGAUUAAAAAGUGAACAAUUUUAAACUGGUAAAUUUCAUCACAAAGAUUUCUGUCAUUAUCAUUAAGAAAAAUCAUUAAGGCAAACCACAUAUAACUACAUUUCUGACAAAGGAUUUGUUUUCAGAAUAUAUAACAAUACUUUUACAGCUCAAUCAGAAAACCCCAAAUAGCCCAAUUUUUAGAAGGGGAAUUUUAAGAAACAGAAAACAGGAGGUAGUAUUUUUACCGGAAACCUAGAACAUCCCGACUGCCACUUGGGAGCACAUUAUUGUUGAAGGAUUAGGAUGACAUCAUCUUUGCUACUGAGAUUUCUUAGGAAUUUUCCCAGAGCCAGGCUCACAGAAUGUACUUUUGAAGGGAGAGGGUAGAAAUUUGCUAUAUAUUCUAUUUUGUUUAAAAUAAUUGUAUAACAUUUUAUGCACCUAGAGAACUAGAGUUCCCAGAAUACUAGGAACUGACGAUCGAUUGGAGGGAGGUAUUGUUAGGUUUGUUUUUAGGAGAGGGGGUUGUUGAUUUUCUUUUUUCGAUGAAAGCUCACUGGCUCUAUUUGGAGCUCACGACUGAUAAUGAGCACCAAGAAAGACAAUAAUUUGCCCAUUGUGUCCAAAAAUAUCCAAAUACCCAUCUGAAUUGUCCUCGGUUUUCCCCUUUUCUGAAACUACUCCCUUUAUCAUACAAAAUAUGUGUCUGGAAAUUUAGAUAAUGUUUUAAGAAUGGCGUUUGUUCCAGAUAAUUAGAUAACUUUAUCAAUGGUUUAAAAAAGUGGUCCAUUACAAAAUUAUGUGACCCUGAGAUGAGGUGUUAUCUAAUUUAAUAGUCCAAGAUAGAAACUUUUCUUAUCUACUCUGUAUCAAAAAGACAUUUGAAAGUAUAGUUUUUCUCAUGCUAAACCUCAGAUUCAUAACAUAUUUCAACCCAAAUCCAUUUUGUAUUAUGCAUUGGAUGACAAAAGAAGCUCCACCAUUCUCAAAAGGGAAUCAAGAAUUUAGAUCCAGCUUCUAGGUGUGUUGAUGGUACACCAUGUUCGGCAGAAGCUAAAACAGUUGUAGUGAGUUAGGGGUCUUUCUCCUCAGUGGUUGCCCUGACAUCUUGACAUUCCUCGUAUUUAUUUCCAAUUGGCCACUAUAACAAGUUACCAACAGGUGGGUAACUUAAAACAACAGAAAUUUUAUUUUCUCAUAGUUCUGGAAGUCAGACAUCUGAAAUCAAUAUCCCUGGAGUUCCUGUCGUGGCUCAGUGGUUAAUGAAUCUGACUAAUGAGGUUGAGGGUUCGAUCCCUGGCCUUGCUCAGUGGGUUAAGGAUCCGGUGUUGCCGGGAGCUGUGGUGUAGGUUGUAGAUGCAGCUCAGAUCCUGUUUUGCUGUGGCUGUGGCGUAGGCCGGCGGCUACAGCUCCGAUUCGACCCUUAGCCUGGGAACCUCCAUAUGCCUCAGGUGCAGC